rnacentral:rRNA from 1 species
CUUAGAGUUUGAUCCUGGCUCAGAACGAACGCUGGCGGCAGGCUUAACACAUGCAAGUCGAGCGCUCUCUUCGGAGGGAGCGGCGGACGGGUGAGUAACGCGUGGGAAUAUGCCCUUGGGUGCGGAACAACCGCUGGAAACGGCGGCUAAUACCGCAUGACGACUAUGGUCCAAAGAUUUAUCGCCCAAGGAUUGGCCCGCGUUGGAUUAGGUAGUUGGUGAGGUCAAAGCUCACCAAGCCGACGAUCCAUAGCUGGUUUGAGAGGAUGAUCAGCCACACUGGGACUGAGACACGGCCCAGACUCCUACGGGAGGCAGCAGUGGGGAAUCUUGGACAAUGGGGGAAACCCUGAUCCAGCCAUGCCGCGUGAGCGAUGACGGCCUUAGGGUUGUAAAGCUCUUUCACCGGUGACGAUAAUGACGGUAGCCGGAGAAGAAGCCCCGGCUAACUCCGUGCCAGCAGCCGCGGUAAUACGGAGGGGGCUAGCGUUGUUCGGAAUUACUGGGCGUAAAGCGCGCGUAGGCGGACUGUUAAGUCGGGGGUGAAAUCCCGGGGCUCAACCCCGGAACUGCCUCCGAUACUGGCGGUCUAGAGUCCGUGAGGGGUUGGUGGAAUGGCGAGUGUAGAGGUGAAAUUCGUAGAUAUUCGCCGGAACACCAGUGGCGAAGGCGGCCAACUGGCACGGUACUGACGCUGAGGUGCGAAAGUGUGGGGAGCAAACAGGAUUAGAUACCCUGGUAGUCCACACCGUANACGAUGAGUGCUAGACGUCGGCCAGCAUGCUGGUCGGUGUCGCAGCUAACGCAUUAAGCACUCCGCC